UGGAAGGAGGAGGUCAGGAGAGCUGCUGUGCAGACAGCUGGCAUUCAAAGGAGAAAGUGGUUUGGGGAACAGUGUUACAUUCACAUUUUCUGAAGUGAGUUUAUGCGAGAAGUGCCUUGUCAAUAUACUAUCAAUACAUCAUCGGAGACCUACAUGAAGUUCAGGAAAGCUUCAUGACCAGUGUGCAAGUGAUGAUGUAAAUACAGUGACAGAGGUCACAAACACUACUUUCCACAAAAGUAGCAAUGAAAAUUUAGCACUAAUGUUUUAAUGCACACCAACUUGAACCUCCAUGUGUUCAUCAACUUCCAAGGUAGGAGUGAUGAACUAAAGAAAAGACAACUUGACUGGAUUUCCUCACUUAUUAUCCCCACAUUCAAGGCAGCAAUAUAAGGCAGGAAGUCUAAUGAAAUGUUUGAACC